CCGUGCAAAGUGGGGAGGGGUGGCUGCACGUUAGAAGUGGAGAGGGACGGCUGGGUGGAGUAGGUAGCAGACAUGGUGGUGGGUCUUCCCACUUUGAAAGUGCUCCAGCCACCAAAACACCAUCAUCUCCAUCCAGUUAUUGGGCUUGGCACUAGGAAGGGAAAGGAGUGGCUGGGAGUGCAGGGUUUUCCACUUAAUAGGGAGAACCGUGGGUUUGAAGAAGGAUUGGAAGAGUUGCUGCAAAUUUUGGAGAGAAGAAACAGAGAGCUUGCUGUACGUACGGGAGAAGGAGAAGAAGAAGCUUGCUGCAUCCAGUGGUGAGGCAGAGAACGUUUGGAAUUUCUGCAUUCAAGUUUGGCUAGGAGGUCUUCAAGAGAUGGUGAUGAGGAUACUUUGGAAGCAGCUCUUGAUGGGGACAGCAGUGCUGCCGCUUAGUUUAGCUAGUUUCUCUUCGUGGUUCCUAAUGUUUGGAAUAAACUCGUGUGUAUUCUAAGUUUAAAUUCUCUCUGUUUUUCAUGGAGACAUUCCAUUUACUCUUGUUGUAAUUUCCGCACUAUUCUGAGGAUGACUGUAAUCCUUAAAAUUACUCUUGACUGCUUUCUCAUAUUAUGUAUGAUGACGUCUUAUUUAUAUAUGCAUGAUGUAUAUUUUUGGGACGUUA